rnacentral:rRNA from 1 species
AACGAACGCUGGCGGCAGGCCUAACACAUGCAAGUCGAGCGCACUUUCGGGUGAGCGGCGGACGGGUUAGUAACGCGUGGGAACGUACCCUUUUCUACGGAAUAGCCUUUGGAAACGAAGAGUAAUACCGUAUACGCCCUUUGGGGGAAAGAUUUAUCGGAGAAGGAUCGGCCCGCGUUAGAUUAGAUAGUUGGUGGGGUAACGGCCUACCAAGUCUACGAUCUAUAGCUGGUUUUAGAGGAUGAUCAGCAACACUGGGACUGAGACACGGCCCAGACUCCUACGGGAGGCAGCAGUGGGGAAUCCAGACAAUGGGCGCAAGCCUGAUCUAGCCAUGCCGCGUGAGUGAUGAAGGCCUUAGGGUCGUAAAGCUCUUUCGCCUGUGAUGAUAAUGACAGUAGCAGGUAAAGAAACCCCGGCUAACUCCGUGCCAGCAGCCGCGGUAAUACGGAGGGGGUUAGCGUUGUUCGGAAUUACUGGGCGUAAAGCGCACGUAGGCGGAUUGAAAAGUUGGGGGUGAAAUCCCGGGGCUCAACCCCGGAACUGCCUCCAAAACUAUCAGUCUAGAGUUCGAGAGAGGUGAGUGGAAUUCCAAGUGUAGAGGUGAAAUUCGUAGAUAUUUGGAGGAACACCAGUGGCGAAGGCGGCUCACUGGCUCGAUACUGACGCUGAG